rnacentral:rRNA from 1 species
UGGGGAAUAUUGGACAAUGGGCGCAAGCCUGAUCCAGCAAUGCCGCGUGGGUGAAGAAGGUCUUCGGAUUGUAAAGCCCUUUCGACAGGGACGAUGAUGACGGUACCUGUAGAAGAAGCCCCGGCUAACUUCGUGCCAGCAGCCGCGGUAAUACGAAGGGGGCUAGCGUUGCUCGGAAUUACUGGGCGUAAAGGGCGCGUAGGCGGCUCUGUUAGUCAGGCGUGAAAUUCCUGGGCUCAACCUGGGGACUGCGCUUGAUACGGCGGGGCUAGAGUGUGGAAGAGGGUCGUGGAAUUCCCAGUGUAGAGGUGAAAUUCGUAGAUAUUGGGAAGAACACCGGUGGCGAAGGCGGCGACCUGGUCCAUUACUGACGCUGAGGCGCGACAGCGUGGGGAGCAAACA